rnacentral:rRNA from 1 species
UACAGAGGUCCCGAGCGUUGUUCGGAUUCACUGGGCGUAAAGGGUGCGUAGGUGGCCUAAAAAGUUUGAUGUGAAAGCUCAGGGCUUAACCCUGAAAUGGCAUUGAAUACUGUUGGGCUGGAGGUUUGGAGGGGGGACUGGAAUUCUUGGUGUAGCAGUGAAAUGCGUAGAUAUCAAGAGGAACACCAGUGGCGAAGGCGAGUCCCUGGACAACACCUGACACUGAGGCACGAAAGCCGGGGGGAGCAAACAG